rnacentral:rRNA from 1 species
AAUAGAUACCCGGGUAGUCCACGCCGUAAACGAUGAGUGCUAAGUGUUAGGGGGUUUCCGCCCCUUAGUGCUGCAGCUAACGCAUUAAGCACUCCGCCUGGGGAGUACGGUCGCAAGACUGAAACUCAAAGGAAUUGACGGGGGGCCCGCACAAGCGGUGGAGCAUGUGGUUUAAUUCGAAGCAACGCGAAGAACCUUACCAGGUCUUGACAUCCCGCUGACCGCUAUGGAGACAUGGCUUUCCCUUCGGGGACAGCGGUGACAGGUGGUGCAUGGUUGUCGUCAGCUCGUGUCGUGAGAUGUUGGGUUAAGUCCCGCAACGAGCGCAACCCUUGUUCUUAGUUGCCAUCAUUCAGUUGGGCACUCUAAGGAGACUGCCGGUGAUAAACCGGAGGAAGGUGGGGAUGACGUCAAAUCAUCAUGCCCCUUAUGACCUGGGCUACACACGUGCUACAAUGGACGGUACAAACGGUUGCGAAGUCGCGAGACGGAGCCAAUCCGAGAAAACCGUUCUCAGUUCGGAUUGUAGG